AAAAAAAAUACAUAAAAAACAAUUUAUAUGAACAAACUUCAGUUAGUUUCAUCUAAAAAUAUUCAGCAUUACUUAUUUGAACUGAAACUUUAGUCAACGAUAAUUGUUCAUAACUUUGAUAAAAAAUGAUUUCGAAAACUUUAUUGACUUUUUUCCUUGGAUUAUUUGUUAUAACAGCAAUUAUGGGUAAUAUUACUCAUCCUCAAUGCCGUUCUACUAGUGAUAUUUGUAAAUUUGAUCACGAAUGCUGUUUGCCAAAUAAGUGUACAUCGUACUCAAUAUGGAAAUUUUGCUACGAUAAAGUGCUUGUUAUUGAUGAACGUCAUUAACAUACAGAGAAUAAAUAAAAUAUAAACAAAUAAUCAAAGACUCUUAUAAAUUGUUUAUCUUUGAUGUUAAUAAAAGUUUUACUCCCCAAAAAAUACCAAGAUUUC